rnacentral:rRNA from 1 species
GGGACACGUGGUAUCCUGUCUGAAUAUGGGGGGACCAUCCUCCAAGGCUAAAUACUCCUGACUGACCGAUAGUGAACCAGUACCGUGAGGGAAAGGCGAAAAGAACCCCGGCGAGGGGAGUGAAAAAGAACCUGAAACCGUGUACGUACAAGCAGUGGGAGCACCUUCGGGUGUGACUGCGUACCUUUUGUAUAAUGGGUCAGCGACUUAUAUUCUGUAGCAAGGUUAACCGUAUAGGGGAGCCGCAGGGAAACCGAGUCUUAACUGGGCGUUAAGUUGCAGGGUAUAGACCCGAAACCCGGUGAUCUAGCCAUGGGCAGGUUGAAGGUUGGGUAACACUAACUGGAGGACCGAACCGACUAAUGUUGAAAAAUUAGCGGAUGACUUGUGGCUGGGGGUGAAAGGCCAAUCAAACCGGGAGAUAGCUGGUUCUCCCCGAAAGCUAUUUAGGUAGCGCCUCGUGAACUCAUCUUCGGGGGUAGAGCACUGUUUCGGCUAGGGGGUCAUCCCGACUUACCAACCCGAUGCAAACUACGAAUACCGAAGAAUGUUAUCACGGGAGACACACGGCGGGUGCUAACGUCCGUCGUGAAGAGGGAAACAACCCAGACCGCCAGCUAAGGUCCCAAAGUCACAGUUAAGUGGGAAACGAUGUGGGAAGGCACAGACAGCCAGGAUGUUGGCUUAGAAGCAGCCAUCAUUUAAAGAAAGCGUAAUAGCUCACUGGUCGAGUCGGCCUGCGCGGAAGAUGUAACGGGGCUAAACUGUGCACCGAAGCUGCGGCAGCGACACUAUGUGUUGUUGGGUAGGGGAGCGUUCUGUAAGCCUGCGAAGGUGGCCUGUGAGGGUUGCUGGAGGUAUCAGAAGUGCGAAUGCUGACAUAAGUAACGAUAAUGCGGGUGAAAAGCCCGCACGCCGGAAGACCAAGGGUUCCUGUCCAACGUUAAUCGGGGCAGGGUGAGUCGACCCCUAAGGCGAGGCCGA